rnacentral:tRNA from 1 species
CAAAGAGUAGUUUAACUUAGAAUCCUAGCUUUGGGAGUUAGGGGUGGGAGUUAAAAUCUCUUCUCCUUGA